rnacentral:rRNA from 1 species
UACGGAGGGUGCAAACGUUGCUCGGAAUCAUUGGGCGUAAAGCGCACGUAGGUGGCUUGUUAAGUCGGGUGUGAAAUCCCUGGGCUCAACCCAGGAAGUGCACUCGAAACUGGCGAGCUUGAGUACUGAAGAGGGUCGCGGAAUUCCCGGUGUAGAGGUGAAAUUCGUAGAUAUCGGGAGGAACACCAGUGGCGAAGGCGGCGACUC